GGGUGCGUAGCUCAAUUGGCAGAGCGUCACGUUUACACCGUGGAGGUUCCAGGUUCGAGUCCUGGCGCACCCACUA
rnacentral:tRNA from 1 species